UGAUGUUAGCGGCGGACGGGUGAGUAACACGUGGGUAACCUGCCUGUAAGACUGGGAUAACUCCGGGAAACCGGGGCUAAUACCGGAUGCUUGAUUGAACCGCAUGGUUCAAUUAUAAAAGGUGGCUUUUAGCUACCACUUACAGAUGGACCCGCGGCGCAUUAGCUAGUUGGUGAGGUAACGGCUCACCAAGGCAACGAUGCGUAGCCGACCUGAGAGGGUGAUCGGCCACACUGGGACUGAGACACGGCCCAGACUCCUACGGGAGGCAGCAGUAGGGAAUCUUCCGCAAUGGACGAAAGUCUGACGGAGCAACGCCGCGUGAGUGAUGAAGGUUUUCGGAUCGUAAAACUCUGUUGUUAGGGAAGAACAAGUACCGUUCGAAUAGGGCGGUACCUUGACGGUACCUAACCAGAAAGCCACGGCUAACUACGUGCCAGCAGCCGCGGUAAUACGUAGGUGGCAAGCGUUGUCCGGAAUUAUUGGGCGUAAAGCGCGCGCAGGCGGUUUCUUAAGUCUGAUGUGAAAGCCCCCGGCUCAACCGGGGAGGGUCAUUGGAAACUGGGGAACUUGAGUGCAGAAGAGGAGAGUGGAAUUCCACGUGUAGCGGUGAAAUGCGUAGAGAUGUGGAGGAACACCAGUGGCGAAGGCGACUCUCUGGUCUGUAACUGACGCUGAGGCGCGAAAGCGUGGGGAGCGAACAGGAUUAGAUACCCUGGUAGUCCACGCCGUAAACGAUGAGUGCUAAGUGUUAGAGGGUUUCCGCCCUUUAGUGCUGCAGCAAACGCAUUAAGCACUCCGCCUGGGGAGUACGGUCGCAAGACUGAAACUCAAAGGAAUUGAC
rnacentral:rRNA from 1 species